GACAUACCCCCUCCGUCCGGAAAUACUUGUCCUAGAAAUGGAUAAAAUGGAUGUAUCUAUAGCUAAAAUAAGUCUAGAUACAACCAUUUCGAGGACAAGUAAUUCUGACGGAGGGAGUAUUUU
rfam:Triticum aestivum genome assembly, contig: Triticum_aestivum_CS42_TGACv1_scaffold_513731_6BS